AGCGAACGCUGGCGGCAGGCCUAACACAUGCAAGUCGAACGAACCUUUCGGGGUUAGUGGCGGACGGGUGAGUAACACGUGGGAACGUGCCUUUAGGUUCGGAAUAACUCAGGGAAACUUGUGCUAAUACCGAAUGUGCCCUUCGGGGGAAAGAUUUAUCGCCUUUAGAGCGGCCCGCGUUUGAUUAGCUAGUUGGGUGUGGUAAUGGCUCACCAAGGCGACGAUCAGUAGCUGGUCUGGGAGGAUGAUCAGCCACAUUGGGACUGAGACACGGCCCAAACUCCUACGGGAGGCAGCAGUGGGGAAUCUUGCGCAGUGGGCGAAAGCCUGACGCAGCCCUGCCUCGUGAAUGAUGAAGGUCUUAGGGUUGUAAAAUUCUUUCACCGGGGAAGAUAAUGACGGUACCCGGAGAAGAAGCCCCGGCUAACUUCGUG
rnacentral:rRNA from 1 species